CACGCGGUAAACGAUGAGUGCUAGGUGUAGCGGGUAUCGACCCCUGCUGUGCCGGAGUUAACACAAUAAGCACUCCGCCUGGGGAGUACGGCCGCAAGGUUGAAACUCAAAGGAAUUGACGGGGGCCCGCACAAGCAGCGGAGCAUGUGGUUUAAUUCGAAGCAACGCGAAGAACCUUACCAGGUCUUGACAUCGAGGCAAAGCCGUAGAGAUACGGUGUUCAGCAAUGAAGCCGAAGACAGGUGG
rnacentral:rRNA from 1 species